CGCGCACACAGACCCCAGGCUACACAGUUGAUUCACACAGCGUCUCUCCCGCUAACCGUAAUAAACACUGCUGGGAAAAGUUCAGCUGCGCUGCCAUGGAGAACAAAACUCUAUUUUUUUUUUUAUUCAGACAAUUUGUUUUUUUUCCUCAGCAUUUCAUUUUUUACUCAGUAAUGGGGAGUUUUCCAAAGUACCGGUAGUUAAGUAUAUUACUUGUGUCAAAAUGAACUUGAGUAAAAGAAAAAAAAUAACCUAAUUUAAAAACUACUUUAAAAAUUACAAAUUACUCAUAAAAUCUUCUCAAUUACAGUAAUGUGAGUAAAUGUAAUUAGUUACUUUCCACCUCUGGUGCUGAGUUAUAGUUUUGCAAUGCUGCUAAUGAAGAUUAAAUAAAAAGAUGCUGUUUUUAACAGGUACAAGUUCUGGGCUGGAGUUUCCCUGUUCUAUUGGGACUUACAGUGGUGAUUUAGGACUGUCCAGUAAAGAGCAGUGUGUCCCCUGUCCUGCUGGACGGUACUGCGCUUCCUCUGGCCUUUCUUCUCCCACUGCCGACUGCUCUCCUGGCUACCUGUGCAUCCAGGGAGCCACUGUUUCACAGCCUCCUGGAGACGCUACAGGAAGAAGAUGCUCAGCAGGCUUCUACUGCCCUGCAGGAACCAAUCAUAUGCGGCCCUGCCCACCAGGAACAUUCAGCUCAUUAGAAGGAGCAGCAUCUUCAGAGGAGUGUCAGCCCUGCACUCCUGGUCAGUUCUGUGCAGAAUAUGGGUUGAGUUCCCCGUCUGGACCCUGCAGUCCUGGAUAUUACUGCACCCUCAAAGCCAGCUCCCAGACUCCUCACCAGAACAGAAGCACCGGUAAUAAACAGGGCUUUAAAUUCACUGAAAUUAAGCAUUUAAGGUAUAUCAUGGUAACAUUCGUCUCUGUUUUAGAGUUGAAAGAGCGUGCACAUUACCCGGAAGAUGAGCAUCUGGAUCUGGUUCAGAUCACUGGUGAUAUCUGUGCACGAGGACACUACUGUCCAAGUGGGAGUUCUCAGCCAUUGCCGUGCCCACCAGGGACGUUUCUGGGCCGGCGUGGUGCCGUCUCUGAGUCUGACUGUGUCCCGUGUCUUCCUGGCUUUUACUGCCCUGCCUGGGGGCAGAACUCUGUCGAGAUUGGCUGCCCUGAGGGCUGGUUCUGCCCUGCAGGCUCUGUCAUUGGACGUGAACCUGGUAGGCUCUUCAGAAACACCCGUCUGUUUUAAAUUAAGUAAAUCUAGCUAUUUAUAGACGCUCCC
rnacentral:lncRNA from 1 species